AUUUCUUUUCAACAACAAAAAAUCAUUCACAACACCCAUUUGAAUUCUCAACAAUUUUAUUGCGAUCUAUUUUCAAAAAUUACUUAAUAAAAAUUUUAAUUUUACCACUUAAUUUUGAAUAACUCAAAUACAAUGAUUAUUAAUGCCAUGUUUAACCACUAACAUAAGAGCUCGCUUGUAUGCAAUAAAAUAUAAAAUACGCAACAAAAUACCAUUGAUAUGCCAUAAUUGUUGAAAUUAAAAUUUAAAUAAUCCUGCUCAACAAUAAAACCGCAAAUUUGUAAAAUGAAUAACGCCAACAUAUUCACAUUCACAUGUUGGAAAAAAAAUCAAGUUGUAUUCAAAAGGUAUGUGGAAGCCCUAUAACGGAUGUGAUGUAUCCAGGUGUGGCCACUAAUCGAUGGGGUAAAAUGGUUUAAAAGUCAGCAGAAGAACAAUUGCCAGUUUGUUAAAUGUGUUAAAAAGAAGUUCGCAUAGUAUAUGGCGGAUUUUGGAACGUUCACUGAAUUCCCCAAUGCGUUUGUAACAUAAAACAGUUGAAAACGCGUUAAUAUUGGUCGAGUUGAAUUUGUAAUUCCCAACCAUUGUGGAUAUUUAACUUUUUCGAAUUUCGUCAUAAUAGGAGCAAGUCAUGGGCGCUCUGGACCAUUUGAUUCCUCCGGCAGUGAAACAUUUGAAACACACACACAUAGGAAUGUAUGUAUGUAUGUAGUAAGUUACCUUAGGCUCCAUUGUUCAACUAGAGCUUGUGAAUAAAACUGGCAUGGAGUGUUUUUGCGACUGAGUGUGAGCACUUUUAUUGUGCAGCCUUACCACAUACCAAAUAAUAGGAAACAGCUUUGAAUGGAAGGAGCUGCGUACCUGCGUAUCGCUGUGAUUGUGUGGUGCAAAGUCUAGUAUGUUACAGCAAUUUUCGCCCAUAUCAUAACCAUUCAAGUAAAAUGUUUUUAAGAGGCUGUAAACCAUUAGGAAGUGUUGCAUUUCAAUGCAGAGGUGCG